rnacentral:rRNA from 1 species
AUGUUCAAAGUUUCAAUCCAAUCGAAGUUACGGAUCUCCGAGAAUAUAAGAAACAGUGAAAGGGCAGAAUACCGGAACACAGAAACAGAGAGAGACAGAGAGUCAGAUCCAAUCUCGGAGGGGCUCUCGCCCCUCCCAUGCCAUGGAUACCAAGGACCAGAGGGAGAACCCUUCUCCCACCUAGGCAUAAGACCAAGGAAGAAGAAGGAGGGGGGCUCUCUCCCCCACGCUUCCGAUGGCGCCGGAACGCCGCCGAGGCCAUCAUCAUCACCACAAUCUACACCAACAACUUCACCGCCCUCAUCACCAACUCUUCGCCCCUCUAUGCAACGGUGUAACCCCUCUUUUCCUCGCUGUAAUCUCUACUUAAACAUGGUGCUCAACACUAUAUAUUAUUUCCCAAUGAUGUAUGGCUAUCCUAUGAUGUUUGAGUAG